UACGGAGGGUGCGAACGUUAAUCGGAAUCACUGGGCGUAAAGCGCGCGUAGGCGGUUUGUUAAGUGGGAUGUGAAAUCCCCGGACUUAACCUGGGAAUUGCAUUUCAAACUGGCCGACUAGAGUACGGUAGAGGGAGGUAGAAUUUCCUGUGUAGCGGUGAAAUGCGUAGAUAUAGGAAGGAAUACCAGUGGCGAAGGCGGCCUCCUGGAUCGAUACUGACGCUGAGGCGCGAAAGCGUGGGGAGCAAACAGG
rnacentral:rRNA from 1 species